GACAGAGGGUACAAACGUUGUUCGGAAUUACUGGGCGUAAAGCGCGUGUAGGCGGCAUGACAAGUCGGAUGUGAAAGCCCUGGGCUCAACCCAGGAAGUGCAUUCGAUACUGCCGUGCUAGAGUCCCGGAGAGGGUGGUGGAACUCUCGGUGUAGAGGUGAAAUUCGCAGAUAUCGAGAAGAACACCGGUGGCGAAGGCGGCCACCUGGACGGUGACUGACGCUGAGACGCGAAAGCGUGGGGAGCAAACAGG
rnacentral:rRNA from 1 species